rnacentral:rRNA from 1 species
AGUGAACGCUGGCGGUAGGCCUAACACAUGCAAGUCGAACGGCAGCACAGUAAGAGCUUGCUCUUACGGGUGGCGAGUGGCGGACGGGUGAGGAAUACAUCGGAAUCUACUUUUUCGUGGGGGAUAACGUAGGGAAACUUACGCUAAUACCGCAUACGACCUACGGGUGAAAGCAGGGGAUCUUCGGACCUUGCGCGAUUGAAUGAGCCGAUGUCGGAUUAGCUAGUUGGCGGGGUAAUGGCCCACCAAGGCGACGAUCCGUAGCUGGUCUGAGAGGAUGAUCAGCCGCACUGGAACUGAGACACGGUCCAGACUCCUAAGGGAGGCAGCAGUGGGGAAUAUUGGACAAAGGGCGCAAGCCUGAUCCAGCCAUACCGCGUGGGUGAAGAAGGCCUUCGGGUUGUAAAGACCUUUUGUUGGGAAAGAAAAGCAGCAGGUUAAGACCCCGCUGUUGUGACGGUACCCAAAGAAUAAGCACCGGCUAACUUCGUG